rnacentral:rRNA from 1 species
GAAAUGACUGCUAAUACCGCAUAUGCCAUAAUAAUCACAUGAUUAAAGUGGGAAAGGAGCAAUCCGCUUAUAGAUGGGCUUACGCCUGAUUAGCUAGUUGGUGAGGUAACGGCCUACCAAGGCGACGAUCAGUAGCCGAACUGAGAGGUUAAACGGCCACAUUGGGACUGAGAUACGGCCCAGACUCCUACGGGAGGCAGCAGUCGGGAAUAUUGCGCAAUGGAGGAAACUCUGACGCAGUGACGCCGCGUGCAGGAAGAAGGUUUUCGGAUUGUAAACUGCUUUAGACAGGGAAGAUAAAAGACAGUACCUGUAGAAUAAGCUCCGGCUAACUACGUGCCAGCAGCCGCGGUAAUACGUAGGGAGCAAGCGUUAUCCGGAUUUAUUGGGUGUAAAGGGUGCGUAGACGGGAAAUUAAGUUAGUUGUGAAAUCCCAUGGCUCAACUGUGGAACUGCAACUAAAACUGAUUUUCUUGAGUACUGGAGAGGAAAGUGGAAUUCCUAGUGUAGCGGUGAAAUGCGUAGAUAUUAGGAGGAACACCAGUGGCGAAGGCGACUUUCUGGACAGAAACUGACGUUGAGGCACGAAAGUGUGGGGAGCAAACAGGAUUAGAUACCCUGGUAGUCCACACCGUAAACGAUGGAUACUAGGUGUAGGGUGUGAUGAACAUUCUGUGCC